CUACAAGAAAAUUGAUCAUUCACAGAGAUAAAUUUGUGCCGUGAGUGAGUAUUACUCACGACGAAUAAUAAAUAUCCGCCCACGUGCUUCUUGUUUCCGAUGACGGAGGAAGCACAGCCGAGAUUAUCCGAGUCCUCGGUGGUCCGGCCGUAGGAGAUGUACGGUCCAGAUGCUUGAGAUUGGCCGAUUAAAGCACCUCUGAGGUGGUAGCCGUCCUGGAAUUGCUUGCUUGGUCAUCUGGUUUUGUUUAGCAUACUUUGCAUCUCUCAACAAGUAUAGACAGAAAUGGACAAUACAAAUGUAUACGCCUACAUUUCAACAAUUGCUCUCUUGGUUUGCAUCCCACCAACAUUAAUUAUUGAAGGACUCCAACUGAUGCAAUAUGGUUUUAGGGAUGCAAUGGCCAAGGGGCAUUUGAGUAAAGGUCAUGUGCAAAGAGUCGAGUUCCCGAUCUUCUAUUUGGUUUGCACGGUGGAACUUUUUAUUGUUCUCCUUGGUACCGCUAUAGACGUUAAAAGUUUGGGCAUGAAGGUAGUAUCAUCCCUCUGAAGUUAGAUAAAUUGGUAUUGUCAUUGUAUUCUUACACUUCAAAUGAUUUUGUAAUUGAAGUGGAUUAUAAACUUUCAAUGAAGUGUUCAUUUCUUUGUUCUA